rnacentral:rRNA from 1 species
GAUGAACGCUGGCGGCGUGCCUAAUACAUGCAAGUCGAGCGAACAGACGAGGAGCUUGCUCCUCUGACGUUAGCGGCGGACGGGUGAGUAACACGUGUAUACCCUACCUAUAAGACUGGGAUAACUUCGGGAAACCGGAGCUAAUACCGGAUAAUAUAUUGAACCGCAUGGUUCAAUAGUGAAAUACGGUUUUUCUGUCACUUAUAGAUGGAUCCGCGCCGCAUUAGCUAGUUGGUAAGGUAACGGCUUACCAAGGCAACGAUGCGUAGCCGACCUGACAGGGUGAUCGGCCACACUGGAAGUGGGACACGGUCCAGACUCCUACGGGAGGCAGCAGUAGGGAAUCUUCCGCAGUGGGCGAGAGCCUGACGGAGCAAGGCGGCGUGAGUGAUGAAGGUCUUCGGAUCGUAAAACUCUGUUAUGAGGGAAGAACAAAUGUGUCAGUAACUAUGCACGUCUUGACGGUACCUAAUCAGAAAGCCACGGCUAACUACGUG